CUCUGCCUCCCAAGUGCUGGGAUUAAAGGCGUGCAUGUUCCAAUACAACUGGCUCUAAGCUUCUCUUUAAUUCCUUUUCAUAAGUUGGAAACUUAGCUGGGUGGGAUGUAGAUGUAACGGUCUUAUUA